rnacentral:rRNA from 1 species
GAUCCUGGCUCAGGAUGAACGCUAGCUACAGGCUAACACAUGCAAGUCGAGGGGCAGCAUGACGGAAGCUGCUCAGUGAUGGCGACCGGCGCACGGGUGAGUAACGCGUAUCCAACCUGGCCCUUAGUAGGGGAUAGCCCGGCGAAAGUUGGAUUAAUACCCUAUGUUUUCCAAUGAGGACAUCUGAGCUGGAACAAAGGUUUACCGCUAAGGGAUGGGGAUGCGUCUGAUUAGGUAGUAGGCGGGGUAACGGCCCACCUAGCCGACGAUCAGUAGGGGUUCUGAGAGGAAGGUCCCCCACAUUGGUACUGAGACACGGACCAAACUCCUACGGGAGGCAGCAGUGAGGAAUAUUGGUCAAUGGACGAGAGUCUGAACCAGCCAAGUAGCGUGCAGGAAUGACUGCCCUAUGGGUUGUAAACUGCUUUUAUGCGGGAAUAAAGUGAGGCACGUGUGCCUUUUUGUAUGUACCGCAUGAAUAAGGACCGGCUAAUUCCGUGCCAGCCGCCGC